GAUGAACGCUGGCGGCGUGCCUAAUACAUGCAAGUCGAGCGAACUGACGAGGAGCUUGCUCCUCUGACGUUAGCGGCGGACGGGUGAGUAACACGUGGAUAACCUACCUAUAAGACUGGGAUAACUUCGGGAAACCGGAGCUAAUACCGGAUAAUAUAUUGAACCGCAUGGUUCAAUAGUGAAAGACGGUUUUGCUGUCACUUAUAGAUGGAUCCGCGCCGCAUUAGCUAGUUGGUAAGGUAACGGCUUACCAAGGCAACGAUGCGUAGCCGACCUGAGAGGGUGAUCGGCCACACUGGAACUGAGACACGGUCCAGACUCCUACGGGAGGCAGCAGUAGGGAAUCUUCCGCAAUGGGCGAAAGCCUGACGGAGCAACGCCGCGUGAGUGAUGAAGGUCUUCGGAUCGUAAAACUCUGUUAUUAGGGAAGAACAAAUGUGUAAGUAACUAUGCACGUCUUGACGGUACCUAAUCAGAAAGCCACGGCUAACUACGU
rnacentral:rRNA from 1 species